UAGGGAAUCUUCCACAAUGGGCGAAAGCCUGAUGGAGCAACGCCGCGUGUGUGAUGAAGGCUUAGGGUCGUAAAGCACUGUUGUAUGGGAAGAAAUGCUAGAAUAGGGAAUGAUUCUAGUUCGACGGUACCAUACCAGAAAGGGACGGCUAAAUACGUGCCAG
rnacentral:rRNA from 1 species